rnacentral:lncRNA from 1 species
CCCCCCCCCCCCCCCCCCCCCCCCCCCCCCCCCCCCCCCCCCCCCCCCCCCCCCCCCCCCCCCCCCCCACACGCGUGUGCCUGUCCCGGCCGAGCUCCCCUCACGCGUGUGCCUGUCCCGGCCGAGCUCCCCACACGCGUGUGCCUGUCCCGGCCGAGCUCCUCACACGCGUGUGCCUGUCCCGGCCGAGCUCCCCACACGCGUGUGCCUGUCCCGGCCGAGCUCCUCACACGCGUGUGCCUGUCCCGGCCGAGCUCCCCACACGCGUGUGCCUGUCCCGGCCGAGCUCCUCACACGCGUGUGCCUGUCCCGGCCGAGCUCCCCACACGCGUGUGCCUGUCCCGGCCGAGCUCCUCACACGCGUGUGCCUGUCCCGGCCGAGCUCCCCACACGCGUGUGCCUGUCCCGGCCGAGCUCCUCACACGCGUGUGCCUGUCCCGGCCGAGCUCCCCACACGCGUGUGCCUGUCCCGGCCGAGCUCCUCACACGCGUGUGCCUGUCCCGGCCGAGCUCCCCACACGCGUGUGCCUGUCCCGGCCGAGCUCCUCACACGCGUGUGCCUGUCCCGGCCGAGCUCCCCACACGCGUGUGCCUGUCCCGGCCGAGCUCCUCACACGCGUGUGCCUGUCCCGGCCGAGCUCCCCACACGCGUGUGCCUGUCCCGGCCGAGCUCCUCACACGCGUGUGCCUGUCCCGGCCGAGCUCCCCACACGCGUGUGCCUGUCCCGGCCGAGCUCCUCACACGCGUGUGCCUGUCCCGGCCGAGCUCCUCACACGCGUGUGCCUGUGCCGGCCGAGCUCUCCUCACGCGUGUCCCUGUCCCGGCCGAGCUCCCCACACUCUUGUCCCUGUCACUGCUCGCGGUGUUCCUGUCCCCGCUCACGUGUAUCCCUGUCCCGGCCGAGCCCUGUGCUGUGGUCCCUUCCCGUCUCACCGAUGUCACGGAGCACUGCCCCACAGCUCUGCGGUGUUGAUAGUGUGUGCCCUCGCUGUUUUUUCCCGCUUGUCGUGAUCCCGGCCCCGCUGCUCUUCUUUCCCGUGUCACGUUUCUCCCUGCAAGCAGCCAGCCAGCUUGGAAGACCUUGGAUGGAGAAGUGUGUCGUCCCAGAGAGCCGCAUCAUCCAAACCUUGUUUCUGCAGGAAUCCAGGUUUCAAAAGCAGCGUUGUUCCCGUACAGAAGUCCAGAGCUAUAAAUCUCUCCUGUUUUCCUGA